rnacentral:ncRNA from 1 species
CCUGAUACACAAAGUUAUGGCUUUAUAAGUUCGUUCAGAGGUGCCUCUCUUAGGUACAUCUCAUUGACGAGAGCCCAAAAUCUUCAAACAUAGAUGUCUGGGAUUCCUAAUAGAUCACGUGUUCUCACACAUUUUCACAAUAAGAGAGAUUUAUUCUCCACGGUAACUGCAGGGUGUUUGCCUUCUAACAGUUGAAAUAUGUCACAAACAUAUUCCAAAUAACCUAACGAAAACAGUGUCGGGUGUGAAGUUUUACUGGGGCAAUAUGUCUGUCAGACGGUAACGCAGGUGUCCCAAGGCAAGCUCAGCGAAUACAGAGCGAGAAAGCGAUGCUCGUCGAUCAUUUCCGAACAACGACGAGCUAGACGCGCCUACCGAGAGAUGUCAAAGUUACCACAGGAAUAACUGGCUUGUGGCAGCUAAGCGUUCGCAACGACGUCACUUUUCGUUCUUUCGAUGUCAGCUCUUUCUAUCAUUGCGAAGCAAAAUGCGCAAAGCGUUGGAUUAUAUAUAUAGGAGGAAUUUCAACCAUGUUUCGUGGUCUGCUACCACAAC